rnacentral:misc_RNA from 1 species
ACGCAUACGUACGAACACAUUUAUGCAUGCGCUCCGGGCUCACUUCAUAGCCAAGGAUGUAGCCGACCACGAGAGGGAACGGCAGACGUCUCUGGCUAGCGGUGCCAGCUUCACGCACGAUCCCACACCACAGGAACACAGACGAGGACUGCCUGCCGCAGCUUCUGUUUCUCUCGUCCACCAUCUCACUUCUACAGUAUCUGCGGACUCUGCUUGAGUCUUCAUUUUCGUAUUUUAUGUUUGUUUGGCCUGCUUGCCUGUCAAUUGAACGCCGUGCCCCUGAUGCGUGGUGACUGCUGCUUAUCCUGUGUCUUCUGUUGCCCCCUCCCCCCUCCGCCCUCUUGGCGCUCUCCUUCGCAGGAGUUUAGAGGUUCAGGGCUCUCUCGCGCUUGUUGGAUUCCUGUGACACUAUCGCGAUGUGCCAGCACGCAUUAUUGGCGAGCCGUUUCGUUGGGGGAUUUCUCUGGAAGCCUUCCCCGCGUUGCUGUCGGUCUCUCUUUCUCUGUCCCACUUCCCUCUAUCCUGCCCCUAGGGUGGUUCUGGGAGAGGUGCUGCGUUCCACUUUUUUUUUUCAGUAGAUGCCGCCGCGUUCGCGUUGCCUUACGUCUGUGUCUCUGCCGCUUUCAUCCGUCUCAGCGGAGAACCAUUGGCGGUGGACCGUGCGCAAGUUCGCCGCGACAUUGUUUGCGUGUGCAAGCCGUCCUUCGAGAGAGAGAGGGAGGGGGGGGGGGUUCCGCUCCUUUUCGUGCAUCGGCGCUGCCUUCAAAGCGGCUCUCGUUCGUUCUCUUUUCAGAAGUCUUCCUUAAUGCUGCUCCAUGCGGCGCGCUCUUAUGCCUUGCGCCUCUUCCUCUUCCAAUGCUGCAUUCCAUGGGCGGUGGCGGCGUCGACGAGACGGUCCACGGGUGGCCCGACUGGAUGUGGGGCGCUCUUCUUCGCGACAGACACAAAUCUGUCUCACCCACCGACGGUGUCGACGAACACCACGCCGCCCUCCAGUGGCAUGUGUUUGUGUAAGAGCAGAUCGAGCCUCGUGGGGCUGCGCUCGCUCUCGCCGGAAGCGAGACGCUCACAAGCUCAAAGGGCCUCAGGUGAGCACGCCAGCACUCAUCGCCUUCACCACGGGCCUUGGCGUGUGCUUCAUGGGCCCGUCCGGCUUCUUGCCUAGCUACAUCAUUGGCUUCCGCAAUGGCUCGGCGGCCGCCCAGGUGUCGCAGGCGCAGGCUAUUGCACGUAUGAUGUCCUCCGCCUCCACCUCAGUGCGGAGACUGCCGAACACGUCAAAGGCCAUCUUGAUUGGCCACAACUCUAGGUGCGAGCGCGCGACGCCUUGCGUGCUGUAGAACCGCACCCAGGCGCUGCUCUCCGUAGCCGGCAGCGUCAGUCAGUAGCGAUGCCGCGACUUCGUCUCCUUCAUCAACGGCGUGUACGGCGAGGGGGAGAAAGUGUGGCCCGUGGCUGUGUCGACCUUCUUCAGGAAAGGCUAACUUGGUAGCAUGGUGAAGAACGACUUUGACCACCAUCGAAGCCGGUACCCGUUGGGCCCUACCACGCAUCUGCUCCAGCAGCCCUUGCGAGUGUUACUGCGCAAGAGCUCCCCCCCUCCUCCCGGCUAGUAGACUCAUCACCGCACGGACCCCUUCUCUCUCCCGCUUUUGGGGAAGGGGGUCAGAGCUGAUAUGUCGGUGAACGCUAGUCGAGUGUCUGCAGCGCAGCGGAGCUGCGCGGGCGAGAUCUGUCUCUUCCGACGGAGGGGUGGCUGCCCUUGAACUUCUCUGGCUGGUACGCCUACUUCUCCGUACAGGUGCUCGUGUGGGUGAUCACCGAGAGGGGCAGCCAGAGAGAACUCUCAGGGGGUGUCGUAGGCAACGCAGAUGCGGGGUGACCAUCGUAAACUCACGGAAUCAGUCGCGGCAGCGCCUGCUCGACUACGACUCCGCCUACGGCCCCUUCGCGCUUGCCAAGGUUCAGCGUCCGCUGGCGAAGGCGGUCGUCGAGUAUCCUCCACGACGACGCGGCCAUACGGCGGCUUUAAGGGAUGUCGUCGUCGCUGCCGAGGGCAUGGUGGCCUCAAGUCGGCUUGGUGGCGACACAGCCAUGAUGAGCUUUUCCUGCUGCAAGUGCGCCAAGGGGCAGGAGCCAGUGUUUGUGUCUGUUGUCCUCCAGUACGGCUCUUUCAUCGGCAUCCACCGCACCCUGCGCGUCCUCUCCCUCACAAUGCUGGCAGCCGCCUCGCGCUCGGCGUGCGCCUCGUCCUAUGUGGCUGCCGGCUUGCGCACGGUCGUUCAUUAGCUCACAGCAGCGCUGUAGGUGUCGUCCACGUUGCAGCUCGUGGCCGACGCGGCGCGCAAGUUCGUAAACGACGCUACCAGCGAGUUUCGCGGCUGCCUCCUGCUCCUGCGCUCUGACUAUGCCGUCAUCACCUUCAACGCCUUGACGUGUCUCUGCCGCAGCACGCGAAGCGCUCGUGCGACUUUGCUAUCGCAGUGCAGAGCCGCAUCAAGCCCGAGAAUGCCCGUCGGAUUAGCGUGCAGGUGAUCACGAACAACUUUCUUUUUGGCACCUGGGUCAGUGAAACCGGCUGCAAGAGCUGCGUUGUGUUCGGCAGGGCGCACUUUAUCGAGUUCUUCAUUCUGCUGCACAAACGCGCCUUUCCUGUGUCGUCGUCACGUAACCAACGGCGAAGCGCGUCGAGUUUUCCGAGACGAUCCUUCUCGAGUUCGCUGCUAUCCCUCAUCGAGAGGUGCCGCACUCACUCUGCGAGCUGCACGACGCUAUCGAAGGAAGGCUGGCGCGGAUGCAGCCCCGCGCGGAACCAUUCUGAGCGGGCUUUCAGUACCUGCGCGUGGGUGACUGCGUCAUCGUGCUGCGGGCGCACAGGCGCGUGAGCGCUAUCGAUCCGACGUCGGCGCACUGUAUUCAGCUGCGCCUCACGCGGAUGCAGGAAGGGAACACGACGUACUAUACGAGCCACUUCCACGAACCGCCAAUGCGCAUCGUUACAGAGGCUGUGCACUGCCGCAAAUGUAAAGGGUAUUGGCGGUACAUGCCACAGCGCAUGGGGCUGGCGCAUCAGGAUGGCCCGUUUGCUUCAGUUUCCGACACCGCUCGCAGCCUCAUGGACAAGAGAGCCGGCGAUGCGACCUCGCGCCGACCCGACCCAUUCGCACCGGAAUGGGUCGCGUGAAACACGGCGGAGGGCGUCCACUACAAACUGAGGAUGGGAAUGGCCAGCCUGGAGGCUCGUCGCUUUCCGACGCCCGGCAUUCACUGAGGUGCGCCUCUGGCGGCCGUGACACCAGCGAAGCUUGCCUUCGCCAGCUACGCAGGCUCAGCGCUGAAAGGCACCGAGCAGGGACUUAUGGAGUGGAUCUACUUUUAGCCCCAGUCGGGUGCAGCAGAGGAGGAGGAGCUGCCGGCGCCCGACAGGGGCUCGCCGGCGACCGCCAAAAACAUUCUGCUGUGCCUGCUGUACAGCAGCGACAAGACGUGGAGCCGGGCUCGCUAGCCGGUGCCCACGCGCUCAUCCAGCAUCGUGCACCCGGCGAUCGCCGGCGGCGAACCUCCAGUGGCCAUCACCUUUUCACCCCCCGACGAACCCGCAACAUUCUGGAAGUGCCGGUUGCACAAGGAGAUGAACAUCAUGCUCACUUUGAAGCCACUCAACGUGAACCAGUACAUCUCCUCCACGUGGCAGGAAUUGCAGACGGACAUCAUGAUGGAGGGCGCACCGGACGGCUCGCUGAGGGACGCGACGGCCCGCUUCGGCGUGCCGACCAAGUCCUUGGCGCGCCGCUACAAGGUGGACAUCCUGCACGGCUUGGCGUGCCAGCACGGCGGCGGCAUCACGCAUGGCGAUGCGAAGCCGUACAACAUCUUCCUUGGGGCGGACCGCAUGUGAAAGGGGUCCGGCGUCGGCUCCACAGUUUCAGAGGCGGCGGACUUGGCACAGUGAAGCGGCACGCUGGAGUUCCGCGGAACGGCCGUGUACCAAUCUCCUGAGGCCGAAACCAGCCAUCCUCUCACCGCAGCGUUUGAAAUUUACUCCCAUCGGCAUAUCUUUCCUGGAGAUGCAGGCGGCUCGCCUGCCGUAGCGUUCGAGGACUUCCAAGCUGCGUGCCAGGCACCAGGGGAUUGCGUGGUGGUGCGUUAGGUGGCCUUUCUGCGUGUGGUGGGGAUCGGCGAGGUCGAGCCGAUGAUGGUCCGUGACCUCCUCUCUGGUGCGGAGGAGUUCGCGCAGGCGUGUCGUGCGCAACCUCCUCUCCUUUUCACUUUCUGUUCGGGUAUUUCCUUGCGAGGGCG